CAUUCUUCGCAAAACGCCUUCCAUUUCCACCACCACCACCACCACUGUGCGCACACCGCGCUCGCAGGGAUCGAGCGUGGGCAGAGUUGCUCACUGCACAUUGACGCGUGUCGCUUGCUCCCUCUCUCUCUCUCCGCGCGUGCUGUGAUUGGCUCACGCGCGUCUCCUCGCCACAACCUCUCCUCUCCUACACUUCCAAUUGGCACCACUACACUCAGGCGGGCAGUCUCGUUUCCUCCCUCCCGCCCUCUCUCUUUUGUGUGUGCGCGCGUGUCUGUGUUCCAACGCUACAUCCGUUGUAGCCACCGCGACGGCCAACAUCACUCUUGCUGCCUCGCCUUUUCUCCUUUUCCUUCUGUCGUUUCCGCGCCUGCCGGUCCCUUUCCUGCUCUCAUCAGCACCCUCACCCCCCACAGAAGACAGAGAGGGGCGAGGGUGGAAGGGAGAGAGGGAGGAGGGGUCACCUCAUCACCAUCAUCCGUAUCAGACGCCGUCUUACACGUGCGCCCCUGAAUGUGAUAGCGGGCUUGUGUCUUCUCUGUUCGUCGGUGCUUCCCUUUUGUUUUGUGUGUUGCUCGUUUUCUGUGCGUCACACCCCGUUGGCUGCUGCUGUUGCAUCUCUCUCUGUUGGAUUUGCAGGUACCUCUUCCCCCCUCUUUCCCUCCCUCCCUCCAGCCCCGCCUGUGCUGGUGCCUGCAUGUUCUCCUGUGCGCCUGUCAGUGCUUCGUUGUCUUAGCGGAGAAUGCAGCCGCCUCAGCUCAAACCUGCGCUAGCGGGUACGGCCGAUGUGGCCCUCCCGGCUGCCUUUGCGGGGCCCAGCAUGACCUACGAUGGGAGCAGCGGCAAGUGCGAGAACUUAGAUUCGAAUCCGCGCUCAUGCGAGGAAGGGGACGAGGACGCCGGCACCUACUCGGCGGACUACCGCGUCUACCAACAGCGUCCCGACGACACGCACAACGCGACACGGCGAAGAUCUUCAUCGGUAGGGCAGCUCUCCGUUGAGCAGGUGCUGACAUCGGUUGCCCCGCUCUCCUCUCCUCCUCAGCAUAUGGCCGCGCGAACGCGUAGCAGCCACUUGCCGCAUGGCAACGGCACCUCUGCGGAUCGCUCUGCGUCCGUAUCACUGCCGCCAGCCUAUCCGGAUCGAUUCAGCACCCAUGCUGUGGGCGACUGCCCAGCGCAUCAUGGCACCGUCUCCUCAUCGUGGUGCUGCGACAGCACCUGUGCGACGCGCACAGGUGAAGCGAAUGGAAAGGUGCCGCCAGAAGGUAACGGCUGUAGCGAGCGCUUCUCGCCGCAUCGCAUCGGCUCAGCGCUGUUGAGCUCCACAGCGGAGACUGCACCCGGAUACCUGUUGGCGCUGAUCGGUGUUGUGACAGGGGUGCUGCUUUUCCUGCCGUGGUCGUCGAAUCCGGUGCACAUUGCAUUGAUGGUGCUGUCGUCAUUGGUAGGGUGCGUGUGCGGCCUGCUCUACUGGAUUUCGGAACGGCGGUGGUACCGACGGUGGCGGCAUGGCUUCUACGACGCAAGCGGCGCAGCAGCGGCUUCCUGCAGCGCCGGCGGUGCCCGCGGCUGGCACGUCGAGUCUGCCGCUGGCAGCGCUGGCCCUCGGUAUCACGACCACGAUGCCGAUGAUGAGGUCAGCAGCGUCGGUAUGUGCUGCUGCGCUGGCUGCGUGAGCCACCUUAUUGAUCGCCAGCACUUCCGCGUUGUGCUGCCGACGGCUCAGCUGCUGCUGCUUGGCACCUUUGUGCUGGUGUCACCCCAGGUGAUGGCAACGUGGACGGCCCCGAUGGCGUCAACGACUGGCCGCGGCGGCGGUGCCAUCCUCGCCGACCGCGGAGCAGGACAUGCGGCUCGCUACGGGGCCACGCUUUAUCCUGUCGAGGCGGUGUGGAAGACUUGCCUGCUGCACGCGUGGAUUGGCAUGAGGUUUUCCCUGCCGCUCCUGUGGAGCUUGCUGGUUGGCCUCGUGCACAUGGCGGUGCUGCUGGCCCAGUACCAACACGCCGGCCCUGGCACGCUGCUCACGCUGGUGGUGUGGAUGAGCGUGCCGCUGCUCUGCUUCGCUUUUGCGAUGUGCAUCACCAGGCCCCGACCAGCAGUCGUGGAGGAACAGCAGCAUCACCAACUGCUGCGAGGCCUCGCCUCUGGUGGGGGAGCUGCUGGCUACUCAGCCAGCUACGGCGCUGGUGUGGGUGAGCCGCUGCCGCCUUUUGUGAACUUCUCCAUCGGCCGGAGACGUGACGCGCUCGAGGCCACGUGUGCUUCCGUGCCAUACUCCAGUCCUUCGACGGUGACAACAGCUGCUCCUGCCCCAGCCACGCAGUACAGUGCCCACCCAUCUCGCCGGGUGGUCCUCCCUCCGCCACCGGUCGCGGCGUACUCGCCUGCUUCAUACGCACAGAUGUUCUCCGCGGAAGGCAUUGACGGCAGUUACCUUGCCAGGCUGAAGGUGGGCGAGUUCGGGAGUCUCGUACGCGGCGGCAGCGGAGGAGUGGGCAUAGCAGCUGCCCGGUACCCCCAAGCCAACUACGGUGGCCUUGGCACGGCAGUGCCCAGCCGUUAUGAGUCCGACCAGCGACUCAUUGCGCCGCAGCGGCCCGUGCGCCCACGCUACAACGCCGCCGCACGAUCGCCGGCGCCGUCUGUGCAGCAGGGCGCGCCGCUGUUGGCGCCAAAGUUCUUUGACAGUGCGGGGGUGCCGCCGCGCGACGACCUCAUCGGCCUCGCAACCCCACAUGACAUCACCCUGCCUCCGCAACACGGGCGAGCACGCGACCUGUCUGCACCCUUGUACUCCCCAAGCUCUCUUUCUCAGGCAGUGCGCGAGGCGCGCUACGAGCCUGCCCAUUACCCCAUCAACAACAUGGAUGAGGUGACGUAUCCCACGACAUCAGCAGCAGCGAUGCUCCCAUCGUCUGGAGACGGCACCCAUCCAUCUCUGCCACUCCCGCAGACGUCGCGCCAGCUCGCUCCGCCCUCGCGCUUGUCUAUCGUCAGCAGCAGCACCCCCUCGACAAUGCUUGUGAGCAAUCUCGAGCCGGCGCCUCAACCGCGGCGGCAGCGGCGCAAGCACGUGCAGCAGGCGGCGGCUGGAGAGGUCGAGGAGGCCGGCGCGUUUCGUGACGACGCGGUCGACAGCGAUGGCGCCGCGGCGGCGAUAGUGCCAGCAGACUCGUCGCAUCAGGAAACUCGGCAGCAUCGGCGAACAGGAUCGGCGACCGCCAAGGGGCAGAGAACGUGGAGCGGGGUCGCCGCCACCGCCGCAGCCGCUAAGAGCAUGUCUGCAGCUGCACCCGCGGCGGAUGACGAUGGCUGCGCGAACGGCGUUGAUGUUCCCAAUGCUCCUGUCCACGGCCGCGGUGACGACGGAGAGGAGUGGGACAGCGAGCCGCCCAUACCGGCCGGAACCUCGCUGGAGGACGCGUGCGCACCGUACCUUGUCCUCGACGCUGCCCUAGUCAUUGUGGACGUUGGCCCGUCCCUGUGCCGGCUUCUGGGUACCACCGUCGACGCUGUCUUGUUCCGCCGACUGCCGGACGUGCUCGCGUGGCUCGAUGUCGUGGAGCGGGAGACGGCGGUGAUGCUGGUGAGCGCUGUCGCGCAGCCUCUGCGCACCGCAGCCGCCGCAGUGCGAGGCGAGAAGCGCGGCGCGGGUGCCCGCUCUACCAGGGAAGAGAAGGCGAAGAAGGGGAAGGGCAUGAAGAGGCGUCACAGCGGCGCCCAGGACGGCAUGCGAGAUAACCAUCACGACACGAACGAGAACCGCAACGCGCCAUCGGGGGCGGCGAAGCAGCUCCAGAAGCCGUCGGAGAUGGAGGUGCGCGACAACGUUGCAGAGGGGGCGCCUGUGCGGCGGAUCACGCUGCGGGGACACUGCCCCUACUACGCAAAGGCCAGCGGCAGCACGAGGGAGAUCAGCGCGGGCCGAUGCAGCCGACGGCCGCCGUUUGCACUUUGCUUCGACGUCUGGGCGGAGCGUCUCGCCGCGCCAGCACCCAGCACUGCCGGCUCUUGGCGGAGGCACAGGUCCUCGGCGGUGGGUGGCGGCCGGCCGCUGCCGACGCCCUUCGUGAUCAUCCUUCGGCGCCCUUUAUUGCAUGGCUUGUGCGAUGCGCUGCCGCUGCCUGUUGCACUGGUGCACCCCCGAACGGGAGAGGUGCUGUGCUGGAAUCGCUACGCUGCGCGGCUGACGGGGUGCACCGCUUAUGACAUGCUGGGGAUGCCCGCGUACGGCAGCUUCGUGUACGAGGGAUUGCCCGGUGCUGCCACGACGGCGGCAAGCCAGGGAGGCUUCUCCAGCACUGGCCGCCAUCUCCCGCCGCCGCCGCCAUCGCCGAGUGUGGAGUUUGCGUCCUCCACGCAUCGGCGACAGCAAUCAUCUAAUACGGCUGCGCUGUCCGCGGCGACAGCGGCCGGCACCGUGCCCGAUGGCGAGGUCGCCUCGAACGGCUUUGCGCCUCCGCCUGUCAAGUCAACGUCGCCCACUACCGCGGCGCUGCUGCUCUCCUCACAACAGACAACGUCGACAGCCUUUUCUCCUCUCCAAAACGCUCGGCUGCAGCGGCAGCACGGCGGCGCCGGUAGCCCAACCUUCGUAGACCAGGCAUCACCGCCGCCGCACGCGGCUGGCCUCUAUGGCACUUUCACCGUUGUGACCUCGCAGCAGCAUCGCGACACUCCGCUUCCUGGCUUCUUUUACGUGCCCUGCACACGUGCUGCGGCUGCGGUGGCAGGCGUACCGCUCUCCGCUGUUGGCCACAGCGGGGAGCUUGCAAUGACGAGCGCCAUUGGUGGUGGCGGCGCUCGACCAAGCAGCUCCUCGAGCAAUGGCGGCGGGCCGCACCAGAUCUCGUCUUUGCAGCUGCCUUGGUCGCUGGCCGGCCGUGGCGGUACUGUGGCAGCGGCUGCCGGGCACGCAGAUCGAGUGCCCUCGCAGUUGACCGCCGCCUCACAGUCUCCUCUUUCCUUCGGAGUCGGUGGCGGUGGUGGCGACAACAAGAACAGCACCAGCGGCGUAGCAGUGGGUGCGCGCUGUCCUCGCCCACCACCGCCACCGCCCCUCGCGGCAGGACUUGAUCGUGGCACCGACCCCUACGACGAGGCCGGAGUCGCCACCGCCUUUGAGACAGACGGAAACAAGGAGGCGCAGGGAGACGGCGACGAGGACGUGAUGGCGGCACCGUACUGCUCUUCACCUGUCAUGGUGCAUGGACUGCUGUUUCGCGCCACCUUGCGACCACUGCGCGGCGUUCUGUGCAGCGAGGAGGGUGGCGUAGUCGAGAACCAGCUCGGCGGUCCGCUGCGGACGAGCGCGAGCGCCGUGGAGGGCGAGCACACCGGCGGCCGUGGCGCGGAAGGAAACCCCUUCUUCAAUCAGCUGCCGCGCGCGGCGGUGGAAGGAAAGGACGCAGAGGAAGGGCAAGCGCUCGCUCGGGAGAAGAACAUGCAGGCCCAUGGCGACGACAAGAGCGGCAGCGACGACAGCGUUGAAGCAUUGCUGUCGGAGCGGCAGCCGCAUCACCGACACCACCGUCUACACCGCACUGCUGCAGGUGCACGCAUGCGGAACAGCGAGUGUGAGGAAGACAGCGGCGCCGAGGACCAGUCGGACAUGGACGACGACGAUGGCGACGACACUCCCUUCGACGAGGACGACCUCCCGAAGGCAAUGGCUGGGACGAUGAACGGCGGACUGACGCUUGCGGCGACGCUAGAGCAGCUCUUCGCGACCAAGGCGAUGGCGUGCAACUUCGGGUUGGACAAGGAGCCCGCAGCAUGUCCACGCCGCAGUGCGGCAUCGACCGUGACAACGACGGCGACCGCGGCCUCUGGAGCGCUGCUGAGCUCCGAGCUGAUGCCUCAGUACAGCCUCCGUGAGGCACUUCAGCAGCUUGCCGCAAGUGAGUCACCUCUCUUGCUCACAUUUUCCGAGCCUCCCCUCUAUGCCACCACGUGUGCAAGCGCCGAGGCGUUGCUGCAGGAGCGACGACUAAGCCACCACCGCGUAAGCAGCCCUUCCCCGGACGAGCACGGCUACUCGGGCGUGCUCACACACGCGAAUAACGGUUUCGUUGCUGCGGCGGCCAGUGGCGGUGACUGCACCAGCGUGCCGGAGAGCUACCUCGGCACCCCGCAGGCGCCUUUUCUUCGCCGGCAGCGCCCGCAGGUGCCGGCGUUGUGGGGUGACGGCUCAUCCACCCUCCAGUUCGUGGCGGCCGUGAAGGAGGCGGUGGAUUCGUACCGGGAAAGCAUCGAAGAAGAUUCGAGCGGCUACACGGACCUCCUCGGCCUCCUCUCACUCAGCGGUGCCAACGGCGGUUGCUGCCCCAGCAGCGGCUAUGCGGCGCGUAACUCGUCGUCCUCUCUGACGCCCACCUCCUUCGGCGGCGCUCCGGAUGCCGCCGUGACGACUGCCAUCACCGCCGACGCAGUGCGGCAGCUACGCCUCCUCAAGUCCCUAUCUGAUCAGCUGCUGCAGGCGACGACCGCGUACAACCGCACGCGCCAGUCGAUGAGCUCCACCACGUGCGGACUCAGCGGCGGCUGCGGCUGCGGCGGCGUUGCCGCGCGCGUGUCCCCCUCAUCUUCCUCCCCGUCGCUCUCACUGGGCCUCUUUGCAGCCCCUUCCGUGCCAGACGCCGACGCUGCACACGAACGCCACCUUCACGCGCGUCGCCACGGCUCCGCCACAACGCCUUCGCCGCACAAGGACCCCCCCGCCGGCGGGCCGCUUGGAGUCUCUGCGCACCAGUCCCCGUUCCAGCCACCGCCGCCGCCUCCACAGCUCGCUUUCAUCAGCGAGGAAGCGAGGGGCGCGCAUCGGCGCCUACAAGGCGGCGGCCCACACCGGCGUCAGCCAGGCGAGCCAGCAGCGAGUGCGAGCACAGGCGGCAGCGGGGCGCAUACGGGCAUCUACCGUGACCCCAACAGCACGCCGUUCUCCGUUGCAUCGGAGGAUGUCACCGGUGUGGCCCCCAGCGCCGUCGGCGACAGCAGAAACUGUGCACUGAAGGAACCACCGCCGCCGCCACAUCACGGCGCCACACGCACCAGCGGCAGCGGUGGGAGGAGAGACAUACAGGAUGGCGGCGCGUCUCCCGUAAAAUCGCGGCCACGCCAUGCAGCGAAGUCGUCCACGGCAAGCGCGCCGCUUAAGGUGAGCAGGGGCAGGCAUACUGGUGCUCGUCACGGCCGCCGAGGCGGCGCCGGCGCCGGCGCCUCUACCCCGGCCCCCAGCCCGCCACUCGUGCCAUUGGACGCGGCGGUGGACGUAGCGAAGGAGUCGCGCAGCUCUGGGUACAUGGGGGAGAUCAGCGGCAGCACCCCGUCUUCUGCCUCGCCUUGCGGUGUCGGAGGGUCGGGUCGCACCGCUGCCGCCGCCCCUGCCGCGACGUCUUCCUUGAACGCCAGCACAUUAUUAGUGGCGGCGGGGUCUGUACCGGCGAUGUCUACCCCUCGCCCGCACGCCACAGGUGCCAGCACCUCUGCCCUCGAUGUGGCAACGCCGCAGACGGAGUUACACUCCUCUCCGCGACCCUGCGACACUGUUGUGGCCUCCGGCGAAGGCGAGGCGAGCGGUCGCGGUGGCGGAGCGGGCGAAGACGCCGCCGCUGCGGGAGGCGUUACCAGCCGCUUGACGACCUCGCCGCGAUACCAGGGUAGCCUCUUGCUGAGUCCGUCCUUGGCCGCAGCAGAGAUGGGCGAGCUGGAGGCCAGCUACGGCACCGAGUCGCGCCAACAGCGGCCGCAGCAUCGUAGCAGUCCCAAUAUCAUUUCUGGUGCGGGCAGUGGCAGGGGUGCAACCCCAGCCAAGCGAGAUGCGUCGCCGCGGCGUCGCUCCAGCGCUGUGUACAGGCGGGAGAGCUCGCUCGACGUACUGCCAAGCGCGCCGCUUGGCAGCGGCAGCUUCCGUGGCAACGGCGGACUCGUGCCAACGAGCAGCAGCGCGUCACCGUCGGCGGGUGCGGGCGCGGGAGGCCAGGGGACAGGCUCGCCAUCGCCGCAUCCGGCCCGGACUGGCAGCGGUAGCCUCAACGCCAACGCUAACGCCGCCGCGGCUGCCACCGCCGCGGUGCGGUCGACACCGCGGCGGCCCGGCGAGGGCGCCGUCUGGGCAGUCCUUGUUUCGCGCGAUGAGGCGACGAUUCCGUCGUGCUGCAUCAGCGUCAAUCUCGGGGACGAAUUUCGGCUCGGCCGCAGCAGCAAGUGCACGGCUGUCGUGCCGGACAGCUUUGUGAGCAGCACGCAGUUCUCCAUUGUGCGAACCGUGUCAGCGUCGACAACGGCGCAGGACUCGCAGUCUCCCGGCAGCGGCCGCAGCGAGCGAGGUGCGCGUCGAAACAAGGCCUUCACGGUCACUCUAUACGACCGCAGCGCCAACGGCACGUACGUCAACGUGAAGAAGCUUGGCAAGGACAAGAGCUGUGUGCUGCGCGACAGGGCUCUCAUCACGUUCCGCCUCAGCACCUCGCAGUUCUUCUUGGGUUUCGUCUUUAUGCUGACUGACGAGCGUGGCGUGCCGCUGGACGACCGCACUGGCAUGGGGGGUGGCAGUGGGCUGCGCAGUUUGCUGGACGCACGGCUCUCACCGCAACCGCAGACAGGGCGGCGAACUAACGCCUCGUCGACCGGCGGUGGCGGCAAAGAGAGCAGCAGCAGCCAGAACACGGUCAUGGCCUCACCCAACGCCCUCUCCACUAGCGCCGCCCGCCGCAACACCCCACGCGCGCUCUCCACCCCGGACAAUUCGAGCUUCGCGAGCGGCACCCCGAACGGCUCGCGGCGCGCCGGCGGCGGGGCCCCGCGCAGCAGCCGCCACGCUCAUCGCGAGACCAUCGAGUGGAAGAUCGGCGAGGAAAUGCUCGGCAAGGGCGGCAAUGCAGAGGUGUACCUUGGCAUCAACCUGACCAACGGCCAGCUGAUCGCGGUGAAGCGGGUGCGGCUGCCGACGUUUGCACACGGCAGCGACGCCGAGCAGGACCCGGAGGCAAAGGCGAUCCUGCAGCAGUACCGCUCUCUACAGGAGGAGAUCAGCGUCUUGUCCAAGGCGACGCACCCGAACAUUGUGCAGUACUACGGCUCCUCGCAAAACAGUACGUACUUCAACAUUCUGCUGGAGUUCGUGCCAGGCGGAUCGCUGCGGCACCUGCUCGACAACUUCGGUGCCCUCAGCCCUGGGGUCAUCCUGUCCUACGUGCAUCAGGCUCUCGAGGGGCUGGCGUAUCUGCACCGGCACAACAUCGUCCACAGCGACUUCAAGGCAGCGAACAUCCUCAUCACAGAGAAGGGUAAGGUGAAGCUGACCGACUUCGGCACCGCGCGGCUGCUGACCCGACCGCAUGCAACAGCCGCCCGCGGCGGUGGGGAGGCGCAAAGCGUGACCUCGCGCACCACCCCUGGGCAGCGCAAGGACGACCCUGUCUCUGUUGGCGCCGGAGGCACGCUGCACAUCGCCGGCACCCUGCGCUGGAUGGAUCCGGCCCUCUUCCACAACCCCCACUCGAGCGGCGCCGCCGACGUCACGGCUGCCGCCACGGCGAAGGACUCGUCCGACAAGCUCGGCGGCCCUACGAAGGCAGGUGAUAUUUGGUCCGUCGGCUGCACGAUGAUUGAAAUGAUGUCAGGCGAGGCGCCAUGGUUCGAGUACGACUUUGAGAGCGAGGAGCAGAUCGUGAACUUGCUCACCUACACAGCGGAGCCGCCGGAGAUACCCGAGUGCCCGGAGUGCCCAGACUUGGUGACCAUCGCGCAGACGUGUCUCAAGAUGGACCCAGCACGGCGCCCCACAUGCGAGGAGCUGCUCCGCAUUGUUGAGGAGGCGACGGCACGGCUGCAGGCGCAGUCGACGAGUCCGUCAGUGAGCCCGUCGCGCGAGGUGUCGCAGCAGCACCCUGCAGUCCCGGGCUCUGUAUCCGGCGCCGGCACGGGUUUGCGGUCCAGCAGCACUCUGUUGUGUCCUCAAAUGGAACCUGGCACGAAUAGUGCAUUCGCGUCUCUCACGGCCAACCCGGCGGUGGCCGCCUACGGCCCAGGGACAGACGACCGCCGUCGGGCAGAGCGUGUCGGUCGCCCGAGCGACUCCACGCCGAUGUCAUUUGCCGUUGGCGGCGAUGGAGGCAGCUCCGCUCCGCUGUCUGCCCGCGACGCCGCCUUGCCCACGGUGCUCUAGCGCCCCUCGGGCGGGCGAGCAAGAAGAGUGGGGUUGGGAUGGCUGAUGGUCUUUGUGUGUCUGUGUCUGUGUCUGCGUGUGUGUGUGUGUGUAGGCUGCUCGUGGCACGUAAUCGACGUGUACGAGCAUGGUGGCUGCCGGUGGCGAUCCUUCCUCCACGCCUGUGUUGCCGCCAUCGCCCCCACUCCCCCGCUUCUUUUCAUCCGAUCGGUGUGCCCGCGUGCUGGUGCACGUCCAGGGCGCUUUGCCUACGCUGUACAACAAGACGAACAAGCGAGUAGGGCGGACGGAACGCAUGCGCGGGGCGGGGAUGGCGGGGGGUGGUAACUGUAUCGCAGGCGGCAAGUCUCAUGUGCGCGGCGACGGAGCUCCUGCUGCGCUUGCUGUCAUAAUGUCUCUGCUGUGCAGGUGCUGCGAGAGCGACGAGGCGGGUGGGUGGUGGUGCGACGGGACAGAGACGGAGAGGAGGCAGGUAUGAACUUGCUGAACGCAAUACUAUGCGUGCAUGUGUGUGCUCUUGAGCACGGCUUUCUCUCGCUCUUGCUACCGUUAGCGGAUAGAUAGCCUCCGACAGAAGUCCUUUGCCAUGCCUCUCCUCUCCCUCUCUCUCCUCAUCCUGCACUGCCACUGGAAUGCAAUCAUCUUUAGCUGUCCCCUAAGCGCUCUCGCUCUCUCGUACACU
rnacentral:misc_RNA from 1 species